CGGGUGAGUAACGCGUACGCAAUCUACCCUACACAGGAGGAUAGCCCCGGGAAACUGGGAUUAAUACUCCAUGGAAUUCAAUAUAGGCAUCUUAUUUGAAUUAAAACUCCGGUGGUGUAGGAUGAGCGUGCGUUCUAUUAGUUAGUUGGUGAGGUAACGGCUCACCAAGACCGCGAUAGAUAGCUGGCGUGAGAGCGCGACCAGCCACACUGGCACUGAGACACGGGCCAG
rnacentral:rRNA from 1 species